rnacentral:lncRNA from 1 species
UUUUUUAACUUUAGAAUUUUAUUUGUUGCAUUAUUAUAAUUUAUAUGCAAACAAAUAAUAUAAUUUUUAAAAAUUUUAUUUUAUAAUUAUACAUAUAUAUAAUUAUAUACAUAUAUAAUUAUAUUAAUUUUUAUUUAUUAUAAUUUAUUAUUCACUACAAGUUACAAAAUAGACAAUGAUAUCACUUUGGAAGUAAGUAUACCGGGGGUGGAGAGCUACACUUUUUACGUCAUCUACUUCCUACCAAAGAAACAACAGAACUCGCAGAACUGCACUUCCACAGUUAGAAACAAACAGCAGAAGUGAACUAAUUUUCACCCCACUUCAACCCGAAAUCCACUUCCACCCCAAGUCUACUUACGUUGAAACAAACAUGCCCCAAGUGAGCGAGUUUAUGUGAUGCAAGUGGAGGAUGCAUUGACAGUUGACAAUGUCGUGGCAGAUAUAUUAUUGAUUAAUGAUAUGAGGACUAAAGUAUUAUGUGA